rnacentral:rRNA from 1 species
AAUAAACGCUGGCGGCGUGCCUAACACAUGCAAGUCGCACGGGAAAGGGACUUCGGUCCCGAGUAAAGUGGCGCACGGGUGAGUAACGCGUAGGUAACCUGCCCCCCGGGGUUGGGAUAACAGGGCGAAAGCCCUGCUAAUACCGGGAUACGACGGUUCGACGGCGGUCGGAUCGUGAAAGCGGGCCGCUCCAUGGAAGCUCGCGCUCGGGGAUGGGCCUGCGUCCUAUCAGCUGGUUGGUAGGGUAACGGCCUACCAAGGCGACGACGGGUAGCUGGUCUGAGAGGAUGAUCAGCCACACUGGCACUGGAACACGGGCCAGACUCCUACGGGAGGCAGCAGUGAGGAAUUUUGCGCAAUGGCCGCAAGGCUGACGCAGCAACGCCGCGUGGGUGAUGAAGGCCUCGGGUCGUAAAGCCCUGUCGGUGGGAAGAAUGCACCCAGGGUGAAUAAUCUUGGGUAGUGACGGUACCACCAGAGGAAGCACCGGCUAACUCCGUGCCAGCAGCCGCGGUAAUACGGAGGGUGCGAGCGUUAUUCGGAAUUACUGGGCGUAAAAGCGCNUGCAGGCGGCUCGAGAAGUCUGAUGUGAAAGCCCCCGGGGCUUAAACCCGGGAAGUGCAUUGGAAACUCUCGGGCUUGAGUGGUGGAGAGG